rnacentral:rRNA from 1 species
GAUGAACGCUGGCGGCGUGCCUAAUACAUGCAAGUCGAGCGAACAGACGAGGAGCUUGCUCCUCUGACGUUAGCGGCGGACGGGUGAGUAACACGUGGAUAACCUACCUAUAAGACUGGGAUAACUUUGGGAAACCGGAGCUAAUACCGGAUAACAUGUUGAACCGCAUGGUUCAACAGUGAAAGACGGUCUUGCUGUCACUUAUAGAUGGAUCCGCGCCGCAUUAGCUAGUUGGUAAGGUAACGGCUUACCAAGGCAACGAUGCGUAGCCGACCUGAGAGGGUGAUCGGCCACACUGGAACUGAGACACGGUCCAGACUCCUACGGGAGGCAGCAGUAGGGAAUCUUCCGCAAUGGGCGAAAGCCUGACGGAGCAACGCCGCGUGAGUGAAGAAGGUCUUCGGAUCGUAAAACUCUGUUAUUAGGGAAGAACAAAUGUGUAAGUAACUAUGCACGUCUUGACGGUACCUAAUCAGAAAGCCACGGCUAACUACGUG